AGGUGGCGAGGGCGGCGGGCGCGGGGGCGCGGGAGCCCCGGCUAAGCCCGGGGACGGAAGGGCGCCCCCUCCCAGCGCCCGAACCCGGGCAACUUCCCGCCGCCCGGGCAGGAGUUUCUCCGUAGCCCACGGACAUCCGGGAGGCUUGUGGAGGGCAGGCGGGUAACCCCCACUCCCACCCCACCUUUAUCCAGGGGCAGCCAGAGGAGCCAGCAGGUCGGGACUCGCUGAGGGGGCUCCACGCGGGGCCUCCCACGCACAGACAAAAAGAACAGCGUGUGACUCAGUUAAGGAGGUGGCAGUGUGGACAAAACACACAGAGAGCAAGGGGAUGAGCCUUCCACUAAAGUAUGAACAUAAAUGAAGCACCAGCCAUGGCCCUUCAUGGGGCUGUAGUUAGAGCUGAUGAGAUACAGUGAAGACAAGUGUGUCAUGGGAGUGGGCAGGUACUGUUGACCCCGAGAAGACCCCAAAUGCUGUUCCCUCCUGGCAAGCUCUCCUGCUGCCAGGGUCUCAGCCUCUUUCUGUGAAUGGAAGCCCAGGUACCACCAUUCAAGAACACAAGGAGGUCCCCUCUCCAGGAGGGGGGGAUUUAGGAUGUGUGUUAGCAUCAGAGUCCACAGCUUUAUUAAGUGACCUGUUCUGGCCACCUCCUAUCUGCCCUGUUGGUAAACAAGGGUUUCCCUGCCCUAAAUAGUAUGAGAUGGCUGAACAUACAACAACGGACAAUGGCAGAUGAGAUUGGCAGCAGUUUAUUCGCCACCUGCCUUCACAGCCUGGGGGAGGAGGACACAGCAUGCCAUGAAGGGCAUAUGAGGGUUGCAGCCGGGAGUGGCACCAGGAGCUGAGCCAACAGCAGGGGCUGUGGGAGGCAGCUUUAUAGUGACAAAGGGUGUGAUAUUCCUGGUUCCUGCAGGAGGUCUGUGAUUGGCUUGUUUGAAUAAAUUCGUGGGCUGGCUGGGUAGUGAAACCCAUCAGGCUGAAGACCAGGUGCAAUGCAGCUGUCCUGGCCAAUAGAAAACUAGCCAGGUGGGGAGCUUUUCUCCCUGGGUGGGAAAGAGCAUGUCUGGAGAGAGCUGGGGAAUUCGUGGUUAGGCCUUUGGGACUCAAAGAUGUCAAGACAGCCCUUGCAUUGUAGGCCUUAUAAUAAAGUGCUUCAGGCCCUGUGCCCAAUCUCACUAACCUUUGCAACAUCCCUGUGAGUUACAUUUCACAGAUGAGGAAACUGAGGCAGGGUAUGAACCAAGACCACCCAGGUCAGGCUUUGUGCCCAGGUCUCCUGACUCCACAGUACAUGCUGUCUGUGUCCAUCAGGGAAGACACCUGUAAGCUGCAAUCACUUCCCAAAGCUGGCACAGCAAGUGGCACUGUCUCCGGAUGCCCUGGAAUUUCUCUGCCCUUUUCAGAACAGGAUUCUCUGCAGGUUUGUUUCUAGUUGGGAUGUAAUUGAACAGAACCUCAGACCCUCUUUGGUGCCUACUGAUUGCAGAUUGUGGAGCUGGUAAAUGGAUUUGCAUAUUAAGUCAAUGAUAUUUCUAUUCUGAAGGUCAAGGCUUCCGAGUGUGGAGUUGAGCUGACCAGAUUGGUGGGGAGACCUGGGUUCUGGCCUAGCCCAGCCCCUCCUUUGCUGUGUG